rnacentral:misc_RNA from 1 species
UCCGGUUUGUCACCGACAGUCUCCUUAGAGUGCCCAACUGAAUGCUGGCAACUAAGAACAAGGGUUGCGCUCGUUGCGGGACUUAACCCAACAUUUCACAACACGAGCUGACGACAGCCAUGCAGCAUCUGUGCGCGCUCCCUUGCGGGUCAUCCCUGUUUCCAGGUCUUACCACGCGCAUGUCAAGCCCAGGUAAGGUUCUUCGCGUUGCGUCGAAUUAAACCACACGCUCCGCUGCUUGUGCGGGCCCCCGUCAAUUCCUUUGAGUUUUAGCCUUGCGGCCGUAGUCCCCAGGCGGAGCGCUUAAUGCGUUAGCUACGGCACGGAUCCCGUGGAAGGAAACCCACACCUAGCGCCCACCGUUUACGGCGUGGACUAC